rnacentral:rRNA from 1 species
CGACCACGAGACCGAUAGCGAACAAGUACCGUGAGGGAAAGUUGAAAAGAACUUUGAAGAGAGAGUUCAAUAGUACGUGAAACCGUUCAGGGGUAAACGGAAAAGACCCGAAAGUUCGAAAGGGGAGAUUCACGCCCUCUCGCGCGUCCGGGUUCUCCCGCGGUGAGAUGGUCCCGUUCGCCCGCGCCGGUGCAAGCCGGCGCGGUGUCGUCCGGCGUCCACUCGACCCGCGGGUGUACCGCCCGGCCGCGGAGGACCGCACUUCUCCCCCGGUGGAGCGUCGCGACCCGUUGGGCGACGGUCUACGGCCCCGGAGGAAGACCGGCGGUCGUCUGGGCUUCGGCUCACGACGUCACCGCACGGGCCCCGGGCGUCCCGGCCUAAACGCCAGACGGUAUCGAACGCAGGUGCAGGACCGCCGAACCCUUUUUCGGGCGUCCAGGACUGGCGCAAGCGACGGGCGGCCCCCGGGACGACGGACCCAGCGUCCGCCGCCCGGACCGUCCCGCUGUUGGCGUUUCCAGUGACCUCGGACGGGCGUUCCGUAACACCGGUCCGCGACGCUUCAGCUUUGGGUACUUAUCCGGCCCGUCUUGAAACACGGACCAAGGAGUCUAACAUGUGCGCAAGUCAUUGGGUCUUUACUAAACCCAAAGGCGUAAUGAAAUUGAAGGCCGGGCCUCCUACCCGGCCCCCCCAAUACGAGGGAGGAUGGGCGCGUCUUGCCCACGUGGCGGCGCCCCGCACUCCCGGGGCGUCUCGUACUCAUCGCGAGUAGAGGCGCACCAAGAGCGUACACGUUGGGACCCGAAAGAUGGUGAACUAUGCCUGGCCAGGACGAAGUCAGGGGAAACCCUGAUGGAGGUCCGUAGCGAUUCUGACGUGCAAAUCGAUCGUCUAAGCUGGGUAUAGGGGCGAAAGACUAAUCGAACCAUCUAGUAGCUGGUUCCCUCCGAAGUUUCCCUCAGGAUAGCUGGUGCUCAGGGAACGAGUCUCAUGCGGUAAAGCGAAUGAUUAGAGGCAUUGGGGCCGAAACGGCCUCAACCUAUUCUCAAACUUUAAAUGGGUGAGAUCUCCGGCAUGCUUGGAUUUAACCAUGAAGCCGCGAGUAUCGGAUCCAGAGUAUCAAGUGGGCCAAUUUUGGUAAGCAGAACUGGCGCUGUGGGAUGAACCAAACGCCGAGUUAAGGCGCCCGAACGACGCUCAUGGGAAACCAUGAAAGGCGUUGGUUGCUUAAGACAGCAGGACGGUGGCCAUGGAAGUCGGAAUCCGCUAAGGAGUGUGUAACAACUCACCUGCCGAAGCAACUAGCCCUGAAAAUGGAUGGCGCUGUAGCGUCGUGCCUAUACUCGGCCGUCAACGGCACAGAGGACGGUCCCCUCGCGGGGUCCGGGCCCUUAAGCCUUGACGAGUAGGAGGGCGCGGCGGUGUGCGCAGAAGGGUCUGGGCGCGAGCCUGCCUGGAGCCGCCGUCGGUGCAGAUCUUGGUGGUAGUAGCAAUUACUCCAGCGAGGCCCUGGAGGACUGACGUGGAGAAGGGUUUCUUGUGAACAGCUGUUGCACAAGAGUCAGUCGAUCCUAAGCCCUAGGAGACAUCCAAUGUCGAUGGGUUGCCGUUAAGCUUCCGCCGGGCGCGCGGGGACUUCUUGUUCCCUCGACCCGCGGUCGAAGAAGGCGCCCUCCGGGCGAAAGGGAAUCCGGUUCCUAUUCCGGAACCCGGCAGCGGAACCGUUCACAUGCGGGCCCUCGCACGAGAGCU